UACGUAGGGUGCGAGCGUUGUCCGGAAUUAUUGGGCGUAAAGAGCUCGUAGGCGGUCUGUCGCGUCUGCUGUGAAAACCCGAGGCUCAACCUCGGGCCUGCAGUGGGUACGGGCAGACUAGAGUGCGGUAGGGGAGAAUGGAACUCCUGGUGUAGCGGUGGAAUGCGCAGAUAUCAGGAAGAACACCGAUGGCGAAGGCGGCAUCCUGGACUGGUACUGACGCUCAGGAGCGAAAGCGUGGGGAGCGAUCCGG
rnacentral:rRNA from 1 species